CGGACGGGUGAGUAAUGCCUAGGAAUCUGCCUGGUAGUGGGGGACAACGUUUCGAAAGGAACGCUAAUACCGCAUACGUCCUACGGGAGAAAGCAGGGGACCUUCGGGCCUUGCGCUAUCAGAUGAGCCUAGGUCGGAUUAGCUAGUUGGUGAGGUAAUGGCUCACCAAGGCGACGAUCCGUAACUGGCCUGAGAGGAUGAUCAGUCACACUGGAGCUGAGACACGGUCCAGACUCCUACGGGAGGCAGCAGCG
rnacentral:rRNA from 1 species